UGAAAGACAUGGGUAGUGAGAUGUUGGUUCACGUGUCAUUUUUACCUCUCACUACCUUGUCUUUC
rnacentral:pre_miRNA from 16 species